rnacentral:rRNA from 1 species
UACGGGGGGUGCGAGCGUUGUCCGGAUUCACUGGGCGUAAAGGGCGCGUAGGCGGCCUGGUCAGUCGGACCUUUAAGAGCGGGGCUCACCCCCGUGGUGGGUUCGGGACGGCCGGGCUGGGGCGCGGCAGAGGGGGACGGAAUGCCGGGUGUAGUGGUGAAAUGCGUAGAGAUCCGGCGGAACACCGGUGGUGAAGACGGUCCCCUGGGCCGAGGCAGACGCUGAGGCGCGAGAGCGCGGGGAGCGAACCGG